rnacentral:lncRNA from 1 species
AGUCCAAAAUGGACACCCGGCGCCUCAGCCACCGAGGCGCCUGUGGGCCCCGGCGUGGCAGGCCGAGGCGCCAGGUGUCCAAACCACAAGCAUGGUCCUUUACAGAAUUAUCACUCCUGCAAAAAUAGGAUGUGAAGACAGGACAGUUCUUGGUUAUACUUCCAUUUUCAGAAUUUGGCAUGAAAUUUAAGCUCCUGAAGUAAGUUUUAAUAAUAAACAACUUCAGUGAAGUCUGGAGCGUAAUUCUGAUUACUGAAUGUGUGUUUCAACCUUUUCUUAACCAUUCUCUCCCACUGCAACUGAACUACCUACUUGAAUUUCAAUAACACAUUCCCUCUGAUCUUUUGGUCUUCUUAUUUGAUAUUGCAAAUAAUUAAAAGAACACAAUAAAUGCAGUAUAAUUUAUAUGUCCUAUUUCAGUUUCCUACUAACUCUCAUCUAGCCAAGGUAAUUACCAUGACGCUGCCCACAGAGUAAAAUUUCGCCAUUUUAAAUUAAUGAAGGGUAUUUGUUAAGUAUUUGGGUUGCCUCAUAUUCUUGGUCCACAACAUUUGGGCCUAUGUUGCUGAUUUUGGAUAAUGGUCCAACCCGGAUGAAGAAAACGUGGUUCUUAUAAACACGCCUCUUCAUUUAAUUGAUGCUUGAUCUGGCCAUACACUUGGCCAUCUCCGAACAAUUGAUCCGUAACUCUUUGACUGACUGCUUAAGUAUCGUUUGGCCAUUCAUUUUCUGGAAGCAUUGAACUUUGUAUUUAGGGUUUUCUCUCUUUCUUCUCUCUAACCACACCGUGUACUCUUUGUGAGUUUUUUAUUUGAAAAUCUGAGUGAUUCAGAGAUUUUACAUUUGAUGUAUACCGUGAGAAAGGUUCUUAGUGAUAUGGUGUGGUUUUGUACUAUGUGUUGAGGCUAGAGAACAUCGAAGAAAUCUUUGAUUUCUUCGUACAUAUUGUAACAAUUCUUGGUGAUUUCUUAGUGGAUCUAGAGCUUUAUCCACUUGUGGAUGCUCAACGGGUGAGUAGGUCAUAAGACUGAACAUUUGGGCCCUUUGUGGAGAAAAAAUUCUUCGUGUUCUUGUUUCCUUUAAGUUUCUGCAAUUCCUUUUGUUACGAUUUGUUCGAAAAUAAAUUUUUAAACAAGAUCCUGAUACCAACAAGUGAUAUCAGAGCCUCCUUUUUUUAAAGGAUUGGGUUAGCGUUUGUUUUUAAAACAAAACUGCCUGUAUUUUUCUGAAAAUUACAAAUCUGAGAUUGGAAGGGGUUUUCUGUGAUAAGAAAAUUUGUUUUUCUUGAAAGUUUUUCACUGAUCUGUCUUCGAUCCAACACUCUGGUUGGAUCUCUUUAAAGAUUGAAAUACUCAUUUGCGUAGAUCUGUGACAUCUAUGGUGAUUAGUUGAGACUGUGGUCUAUUCAACAUUUUUCUUUGGAUAACUAUUGUAACUCGCUUCUGACUCGUAACAAUCUGCUGUUUCUGCUGAGUUGUGGUGAUUUUUGAGUUAACUCACUACUGAGUCUUGUCGGUUCUUGUGACUCAUACUGAGUUCCUAGUGAGUUGGCUUGAUUCUGUCCGAUUCCUACCGAGUUCAUGCUGAGUCUUUAUGACUCAUUGAUUCCCUGCAUUUAUUUGAAAUUCUUGGUUGAGUUCUGUUAUUCUUUGAACUUCCUCUUUAUUGUUGAUUACCUGUGUUAAUUUUUUGGAACUGGUUAUUAAUGUAAGUUGCCUCCAGUACUUCCCUUUGUCCAAGAUCUCAUACGAGGAUCUGAAAAUCUGAGUGAGUAUUGGAAUUAAGGGUUACUACCCCUUAAAUCGUUUCAAAAUUAACAAUUGCAUUUUUUU